rnacentral:rRNA from 1 species
GUGCCAGCAGCCGCGGUAAGACAGAGGGUGCAAACGUUGUUCGGAAUUACUGGGCGUAAAGCGCGUGUAGGCUGCUCGGAAAGUCGGAUGUGAAAGCCCUGGGCUCAACCUAGGAAGUGCAUUCGAAACUUCCGAGCUGGAGUGCUGGAGAGGAAGGCGGAAUUCUCGGUGUAGAGGUGAAAUUCGUAGAUAUCGAGAGGAACACCGGUGGCGAAGGCGGCCUUCUGGACAGCUACUGACGCUGAGACGCGAAAGCGUGGGGAGCAAACAGGAUUAGAUACCCUGGUAGUCCACGCCGUAAACGAUGGGUGCUAGGUGUCGCGGGCUUUGACCCCUGCGGUGCCGUAGCUAACGCAUUAAGCACCCCGCCUGGGGAGUACGGCCGCAAGGCUAAA